rnacentral:rRNA from 1 species
UACGUAGGGGGCAAGCGUUAUCCGGAAUUACUGGGUGUGAAGGGAGCGUAGACGGUGAUGUAAGUCUGGAGUGAAAGGCGGGGGCCCAACCCCCGGACUGCUCUGGAAACUAUAUGACUGGAGUGCAGGAGAGGUGAGCGGAAUUCCUAGUGUAGCGGUGAAAUGCGUAGAUAUUAGGAGGAACACCAGUGGCGAAGGCGGCUCACUGGACUGUAACUGACGUUGAGGCUCGAAAGCGUGGGGAGCAAACAGG